GGGGGGAGCUAUCAUGCAAGUCGUACGCUUCUUUUUCCACCGGAAGCUUGCUCCACCGGAAAAGAGGAGUGGCGAACGGGUGAGUAACACGUGGGUAACCUUGCCCAUCAGAAGGGGAUAACACUUGGAAACAGGUGCUAAUACCGUAUAACAAUCGAAACCGCAUGGUUUUGAUUUGAAAGGCGCUUUCGGGUGUCGCUGAUGGAUGGACCCGCGGUGCAUUAGCUAGUUGGUGAGGUAACGGCUCACCAAGGCCACGAUGCAUAGCCGACCUGAGAGGGUGAUCGGCCACAUUGGGACUGAGACACGGCCCAAACUCCUACGGGAGGCAGCAGUAGGGAAUCUUCGGCAAUGGACGAAAGUCUGACCGAGCAACGCCGCGUGAGUGAAGAAGGUUUUCGGAUCGUAAAACUCUGUUGUUAGAGAAGAAUAAGGAUGAGAGUAACUGUUCAUCCCUUGACGGUAUCUAACCAGAAAGCCACGGCUAACUACGUGCCAGCAGCCGCGGUAAUACGUAGGUGGCAAGCGUUGUCCGGAUUUAUUGGGCGUAAAGCGAGCGCAGGCGGUUUCUUAAGUCUGAUGUGAAAGCCCCCGGCUCAACCGGGGAGGGUCAUUGGAAACUGGGAGACUUGAGUGCAGAAGAGGAGAGUGGAAUUCCAUGUGUAGCGGUGAAAAUGCGUAGAUAUAUGGAGGAACACCAGUGGCGAAGGCGGCUCUCUGGUCUGUAACUGACGCUGAGGCUCGAAAGCGUGGGGAGCAAACAGGAUUAGAUACCCUGGGUAGUCCACGCCGUAAACGAUGAGUGCUAAGUGUUGGAGGGUUUCCGCCCUUCAGUGCUGCAGCUAACGCAUUAAGCACUCCGCCUGGGGAGUACGACCGCAGUGACGAGGGGUACGGGGGGG
rnacentral:rRNA from 1 species